CUUUAACAGUGUAUUUGUGGUGAAGAAAGAUCUCCCUUGUGUGGAGUCAUGGAUUUUUCUGAGAGAUUGUCAGCAAGGACAAAGUCUGGUUACUUGAAAGUGGAAACUGAAGUAAUUAAAUGCAUUAUUUGAAAAAAGGAGCUAUGCUUGAACCAUCCUGCUUCUGAUGAAUGUUUUGUAGAGCUGGUCCUUGAUAGGAAUCCCUGAAUGGCUCCAGGCCCUUUCACUUGGAGCAGUACCGCCUCUAGCACUGCUGUGCACAGUUGCAUGUGAUUUUAGAGGAAAUAAAAUCUGUAUAAGACAUUUGUAUCUUUGAACAUCAGUAGUAUAUUUCUUGGCUAGAGUUUAUGUCGUGUCAUGUCAGAGCAAAGCUAUGACAACCUUUUUGAAGAGCACCAACACAUUCAGUUGCUAGGUACUCACCAAAACCUGCUAGUUGGCAGUGAAGUGUGAUGACACUUUAAAACAUACUUUUCCAACCAUGUCUAGAUUUCAGGCUAUGGAAAAUAGCAUGGAUAGUCCCCUUCUGAACUGCACUGUUUUGUCCAUGAAAAUGCUUCUGACAGUUACUGAUCCUGAAGUGUAAAGUGCCCAUUUUAAAUUCUCAUUAAAAAAAGGCUUUUUUUUUUUCUUCUGUAUUAAAAUCACUCAGCUUACUUUUGUUACUUGGGCAUAAGAACAGAAUUUUUUCAUCCUGAAAUGCUGGCUUAACUAUAAAUGCAAAGAAGUUGUGGGCAGCCACUGCAGAAGACACUGCAACAAGAAGACAGGAAUUGAAGGAGACUCUAGGCAGCAUUUAAGUACAGGCCUUGGCAGUAGAUACCCAUACAUGAGCGCAAGUGGCCCGCUAUAUAGCUUGAGCAUACGCAGUGACAUUAAUACACAUGGCCUUUAGCAAUACCUACUGGAUGUAAUGUUUCUAAGAGCUCACUCAAAUAGAAAUAUUAAAGAGUGUAACGGUCUCAGUGGAUCUUCAUGUGCAAACUAGAAAGUUCAACCUUGUCCCAGUGAAGGGUUGAUUACUGUACUCUUAGAAGGGCAAAUCUUAC
rnacentral:lncRNA from 7 species